rnacentral:rRNA from 1 species
GACGAACGCUGGCGGCGUGCCUAAUACAUGCAAGUAGAACGCUGAAGGAGGAGCUUGCUUCUCUGGAUGAGUUGCGAACGGGUGAGUAACGCGUAGGUAACCUGCCUGGUAGCGGGGGAUAACUAUUGGAAACGAUAGCUAAUACCGCAUAAUAGUAGAUGUUGCAUGACAUUUGCUUAAAAGGUGCAAUUGCAUCACUACCAGAUGGACCUGCGUUGUAUUAGCUAGUUGGUGGGGUAACGGCUCACCAAGGCGACGAUACAUAGCCGACCUGAGAGGGGGAGCGGCCACACUGGGACGGAGACACGGCCCAGACUACUACGGGAGGCAGCAGUAGGGAAUCUUCGGAAAGGGACGGAAGUCUGACCGAGCAACGCCGCGUGAGGGAAGAAGGGUUUCGGAUCGUAAAGCUCUGUUGUAAGAGAAGAACGAGUGUGAGAGUGGAAAGUUCACACUGUGACGGUAUCUUACCAGAAAGGGACGGCUAACUACGUG